CCUACGGGUGGCAGCAGUGGGGAAUAUUGGGCAAUGGAGGAAACUCUGACCCAGCAACGCCGCGUGAAUGAUGAAGGUCUUCGGAUUGUAAAGUUCUUUUUUAAGGGAAGUAGAAAGUGACGGUACCUUAGGAAUAUGCCUCGGCUAACUACGUGCCAGCAGCCGCGGUAAUACGUAGGCGGCAAGCGUUAUCCGGAUUGACUGGGCGUAAGGGGUGCGUAGGUGGUUUGACAAGUUGGUAGCGUAACUCCGGGGCUCAACCUCGGCACUGCUGCCAAAACUGUCAGACUUGAGUGCAGGAGGGGCAAAUGGAAUUCCUGGUGUAGCGGUGGAAUGCGUAGAUAUUAGGAAGAACACCAGUGGCGAAGGCGAUUUACUGGACUGUAACUGACACUGAGGCACGAAAGCGUGGGGAGCAAACAGGAUUAGAUACCCCUGUAGUC
rnacentral:rRNA from 1 species